UACGGGGGGGGCAAGCGGUUGUUCGGAAUUACUGGGCGUAAAGGGCUCGUAGGCGGCCAACUAAGUCAGACGUGAAAUCCCUCGGACUUAACCGGGGAACUGCGUCUGAUACUGGAUGGCUUGAGUUUGGGAGAGGGAUGCGGAAUUCCAGGUGUAGCGGUGAAAUGCGUAGAUAUCUGGAGGAACACCGGUGGCGAAGGCGGCAUCCUGGACCAACACUGACGCUGAUGCGCGAAAGCCAGGGGAGGCAAAACGGGG
rnacentral:rRNA from 1 species